GGUCAGAAGCCAUGUGUUACACAAGUUAGGAUUGAUAUCUCGUCUCUUGCCUCUCAUACAUUUCUCUCUGCAUCCCAGCUACCUCUCUCUCUUUCUUUUGGGCUAAACAUUUCUUUCUGUAAUUUGUUUUGAUGACAGUUCAUGAGCCUGGUCCCAGCCUCCUGCAGAAGAUUAUAAAAUGCAGGUGACUCAUUCUGAGAUCUUCCAACGACAAAGAAGCAUGUAUCACUAAAAGCAUUUGAUGUUCCCCUUACAUUAAAGUCAUGGAACCUUAAAUUAUUCAGUUGGUUUGUUGUUUUGCACCUUGAUUUUCUUCACAAAGUAAAAAUUGUGUAUAUACUGACAAUAAGUUUUUUCUAACAAAUUUAUUUUGCCUAAAAGUAGCAUAAAUGUAGGGCUUCUAUUGUUUGCCUAACAGCAAGCAAGGGGAAAGGCAAUACACAUAUAGAAUGGAAAUGCUGGCCCUUCUUAUAAAAGGUAUACUAGCUCAGAAAUUCAACAGUCUUCAUACACACCUGUCUUUCUGGUCCAUCAUUCAUCAAAAAGGAAUAUAAAUCCAUCUCCCACAGAGUAGUCUUCAAGGAAAAGUUACAGUCAGCAUUACAUAAUAGUGACCCUGCAACUAUAAGCCCCAUGCAUGGCAUUGUUUACUGUAAUUGUCGAUGUACUUGAUCUGCCCCAAAUAGCGUUCUAUACACAGGACUUUCUACUGUGUUUUUCUUCAAGGAACUGGCAAAAUAAAACAGAAGUCAGACAAUAAAUAAGCAAAAAAAUAAAAUAUAAGCACAUACUAUAUGGGGAAACACUAUAUGUAAACAUAUUGAAUUUUGUGGGGAAAUUUAAACUUUUAUUUUAAGACAAGAAAGUAUAUGCAACACAUGCAGAGAGGUGACAAGACAAAGAAGGCAGACUGAGCAGAAUAACAAAGUGUACUGGGAUCACAGGGCGAGAAGAGUUGGAAUACAUAUCUGUGAGUCCUUUUUGCUACUGAAUCUGAGCCAAACAGCUGCUGAGGCUUCAAGCCCUGCUUGGAUCUUGAAGAAAAGGACAGCUACAGGAAUCCUGGCACAGGGAGCCAAGGAGAAGGCAAGCAGCAAUUGAGGAGAAUCUUGAGGGUGGCCUCUAGGGGAAAUGAUGCAUUCUAACAAAAGCUUGGCUUAAGGGACAGAUGUGCAAAGCCUGCCCCACAGAGUGAUCUCUGCCAGGUGGACUGUUUCCUCCAGCAUUGGGCAGCUUCCAGGUGAUGGACUUUUUAAUCGAAAAACUUUAAAAACCAUGACUUGCAACUUCAAUAGAGCAUUUUUAAGUCCAUA
rnacentral:lncRNA from 1 species